UUUUUUUCUCUGUCUUAGGUGUUCUUGGAGCUAUAAUUAAUGUUAUAGGAUUGUGUGCAAGAAUCUUAAGCAUGAAAUAAUUGACCGACAUAGUCUUUGUCUAACUGAGAUAUUUCAGUCUAGGUGAGAGAAAGUUGGUCAGCUGUUGACAGCUUUCACAACAAAUCAAGACUAAAGAGCAAACUGAUGUCUCUGGUGUUCAGAGGACUCCCGAUCGUCUUUGGCCACAAACCUACACAUUUCUAUAAAGUAUUCUUUUGUUGACAGAUGAUGAAAUCAGGGAACUGCAGGUUGUGGACCCCUGUGCUGCAGUGCUGACAAGCCUGGAAAAUAGUGACACAGACACCACAUCAUCUGACACUGAUUCAGAGGAGCAUCCUGACUUACUUGAGCCUUUGACUGCUUUAUUUUAUAACACUCAGGGAACCUCAUCAAUCUGAGAAACUGGAAUUUGUGACAUGGCAACAGUCAAAAGUCAAAGGAUUGGUACACUUAUAGGGCUGGUCGAAUCACAAGCACUAAACUACACCAAUUGACCAUGACUGACAAGAUCAGCAAAACAUACCUUAAUAAUAUAAGGCAGUAUAAAAGAACAGUUAAAUGUACCAUCU